CCCGGCUUGUCACCGGCAGUUCCUUCAGAGUGCCCGGCCCUACCCGAUGGCGACUGAAGGCAAGGGUUGCGCUCGUUGCGGGACUUAACCCAACAUUUCACGACACGAGCUGACGACAGCCAUGCAGCACCUGUGAUGGCCCAGCCGAACUGAAGGCUCCGUCUCCGGAAGCCAUAACCACCAUGUCAAGGGCUGGUAAGGUUCUGCGCGUUGCGUCGAAUUAAACCACAUGCUCCACCGCUUGUGCGGGCCCCCGUCAAUUCCUUUGAGUUUUAACCUUGCGGCCGUACUCCCCAGGCGGUGCGCUUAACACGUUAGCUCCGACACCGAAGGGCAAGCCCCCCGACGUCUAGCGCACAUCGUUUAGGGCGUGGACUAC
rnacentral:misc_RNA from 1 species